CCUACGGGUGGCAGCAGUGAGGAAUAUUGGUCAAUGGGCGGGAGCCUGAACCAGCCAAGCCGCGUGAAGGAAGAAGGCGCCAAGCGUCGUAAACUUCUUUUGUCGGGGAACAAAGGACGCCACGUGUGGCGUUGUGAGUGUACCCGAAGAAAAAGCAUCGGCUAACUCCGUGCCAGCAGCCGCGGUAAUACGGAGGAUGCGAGCGUUAUCCGGAUUUAUUGGGUUUAAAGGGUGAGUAGGCGGUCCGGAAAGUCAGCGGUAGAAGCCCGGGGCUAAACCCCGGCGAGCCGUGGAAACUGUCGAACUAGAGAGGGCGAGAAGUACGCGGAAUGCGCGGUGUAGCGGUGAAAGGCAUAGAUAUCGCGAAGAACUCCGAUGGCGAAGGCAGCGUACCGGCGCCGGACUGACGCUGAGGCACGAAAGCGUGGGUAUCGAACAGGAUUAGAUACCCGGGGAGUC
rnacentral:rRNA from 1 species